AGAGUUUGAUCCUGGCUCAGAUUGAACGCUAGCGGGAUGCUUUACACAUGCAAGUCGAACGGCAGCGCGAGAGAGCUUGCUCUCUUGGCGGCGAGUGGCGGACGGGUGAGUAAUAUAUCGGAACGUGCCCAGUAGCGGGGGAUAACUACUCGAAAGAGUGGCUAAUACCGCAUACGCCCUACGGGGGAAAGCGGAGGACCUUUCGGGGCUUCGCGCUAAUGGAUGAGCCUAAGCCGGAUUAGCUAGUUGGUAGGGUAAAAGCCUACCAAGGCGACGAUCCGUAGCUGGUCUGAGAGGACGAUCAGCCACACUGGGACUGAGACACGGCCCAGACUCCUACGGGAGGCAGCAGUGGGGAAUAUUGCGCAAUGGCCGAAAGGUUGACGCAGCGACGCCGCGUGUGGGAGGACGCCCUUCGGGGUGUAAACCACUGUCAGGGGGGAAGAACUUCGUAGGUGCGAAUAGUGCUUACGGUUGACGGUACCCCCAGAGGAAGCGCCGGCUAACUCCGUGCCAGCAGCCGCGGUAAUACGGAGGGUGCGAGCGUUAAUCGGAAUUGCUGGGCGUAAAGCGCGCGUAGGCGGUUUGGUUAGUCAGAUGUGAAAGCCCCGGGCUCAACCUGGGAAUUGCAUUUGAUACUGCCGGACUGGAGUAUGGUAGAGGGAAGUGGAAUUCCACAUGUAGCGGUGAAAUGCGUAGAUAUCCGGAGGAACAUCAGUGGCGAAGGCGACUUGCUGGUCUAAUACUGACGCUGAGGAGCGAAAGCGUGGGGAGCAAACGGGAUUAGAUACCCCGGUAGUCCACGCCGUAAACGAUGUCAACUAGCCGUUGGGGGUCUUAGUACCUUUAGUGGCGCACAGCUAACGCAUUAAGUUGACCGCCUGGGGAGUACGGUCGCAAGACUAAAACUCAAAGGAAUUGACUGGGGGGCCCGACACAAGCGGU
rnacentral:rRNA from 1 species